AAUGCUUAGGAAUCUGCCUAUUAGUGGGGGACAACAUUCCGAAAGGAAUGCUAAUACCGCAUACGCCCUACGGGGGAAAGCAGGGGAUCUUCGGACCUUGCGCUAAUAGAUGAGCCUAAGUCAGAUUAGCUAGUUGGUGGGGUAAAGGCCUACCAAGGCGACGAUCUGUAGCGGGUCUGAGAGGAUGAUCCGCCACACUGGGACUGAGACACGGCCCAGACUCCUACGGGAGGCAGCAGUGGGGAAUAUUGGACAAUGGGCGAAAGCCUGAUCCAGCCAUGCCGCGUGUGUGAAGAAGGCCUUUUGGUUGUAAAGCACUUUAAGCGAGGAGGAGGCUACUUGGAUUAAUACUCUAGGAUAGUGGACGUUACUCGCAGAAUAAGCACCGGCUAACUCUGUGCCAGCAGCCGCGGUAAUACAGAGGGUGCGAGCGUUAAUCGGAUUUACUGGGCGUAAAGCGUGCGUAGGCGGCUUUUUAAGUCGGAUGUGAAAUCCCUGAGCUUAACUUAGGAAUUGCAUUCGAUACUGGGAAGCUAGAGUAUGGGAGAGGAUGGUAGAAUUCCAGGUGUAGCGGUGAAAUGCGUAGAGAUCUGGAGGAAUACCGAUGGCGAAGGCAGCCAUCUGGCCUAAUACUGACGCUGAGGUACGAAAGCAUGGGGAGCAAACAGGAUUAGAUACCCUGGUAGUCCAUGCCGUAAACGAUGUCUACUAGCCGUUGGGGCCUUUGAGGCUUUAGUGGCGCAGCUAACGCGAUAAGUAGACCGCCUGGGGAGUACGGUCGCAAGACUAAAACUCAAAUGAAUUGACGGGGGCCCNCACAAGCGGUGGAGCAUGUGGUUUAAUUCGAUGCAACGCGAAGAACCUUACCUGGUCUUGACAUAGUAAGAACUUUCCAGA
rnacentral:rRNA from 1 species